UGUAUCCCCAGAGGAGUGUGCCUGGAAACACAGGUGCAUUUUGGUCCUUUUUUUUUUCAAUUGCUGGACCAAAAUAUAUUUGUGUUCCCAGGUCACCCCUUUGGGGUCACC
rnacentral:pre_miRNA from 1 species